rnacentral:rRNA from 1 species
CGGGUGAGUAACGCGUGAGGAACCUGCCUCAAAGAGGGGACGAACAGUUGGAAACGACUGCUAAUACCGCAUAAGCCCACGGCUCGGCAUCGAGCAGAGGGAAAAGGAGUGAUCCGCUUUGAGAUGGCCUCGCGUCCGAUUAGCUAGUUGGUGAGGUAAUGGCCCACCAAGGCGACGAUCGGUAGCCGGACUAAGAGGUUGAACGGCCACAUUGGGACUGAGACACGGCCCAG